GGACUACCGGGGUUUCUAAUCCUGUUUGCUCCCCAUGCUGUCGCGCAUCAGUGUCAGGUACGGCCCAGCGUGUCGCCUUCGCCACUGGUGUUCCUCCGGAUCUCUACGCAUUUCACCACUACACCCGGAAUUCCACACGCCUCUACCGUCCUCUAGUUGUGCAGUAUCCGACGACCUUUCCCGGUUAAGCCGAAAAAUUUCACGCCAGACUUACUCAACCACCUACACGCCCUUUACGCCCAGUAACUCCGGAUAACGUUUGUCUCCUACGUUUUACCGCGGCUGCUGGCAC
rnacentral:rRNA from 1 species